rnacentral:misc_RNA from 1 species
UUUCAAGCGUUCCUUACCAAAUUUUGUUAAUUUACUUUCUUGUUGCUAGAAUUAUUUUCUGGGUUUUAAGUAAUUUUUGGAUGACAUAGAUAUCACAUUUCUAAUCUGUGAAUUCCGUGCUUUAUUUGGUCAAAGACUAAUGUUACUUGACAAAGGACUAGUUCAAAGGACUGUAAUUUUUUUAACUAUUGCAUUAAUGAUUAGAAAACCCUGAAAUAUCCCCAGAUUUGAUCUGAUUUGGUUCAAUUUGGAUGAAGUAGGAAAUUUAUUAUUGGAAGGCUAAUUAACUCUUUUAUCAUAUUUGCAGAAGUCAGGGAGGUCAUGUUAAAG